rnacentral:rRNA from 1 species
ACAGCAGUCGCCACGGGAAUACAGAGGGUGCGAGCGUUAAUCGGAUUUACUGGGCGUAAAGCGUGCGUAGGCGGCUUCUUAAGUCGGAUGUGAAAUCCCUGAGCUUAACUUAGGAAUUGCAUUCGAUACUGGGAAGCUAGAGUAUGGGAGAGGAUGGUAGAAUUCCAGGUGUAGCGGUGAAAUGCGUAGAGAUCUGGAGGAAUACCGAUGGCGAAGGCAGCCAUCUGGCCUAAUACUGACGCUGAGGUACGAAAGCAUGGGGAGCAAACAGGAUUAGAUACCCGGGUAGUCCCUGUCUCUUAUAC